rnacentral:pre_miRNA from 1 species
UUCGAGAAGAGGAAGAAAACAUAGCCUGAGAGCAGUGGGGAUAGGAACAUGGUGGAAAGCCUAACUUGCUUUUUUCACCUCUAGUGUUGGAGGUGAUAAUUUAGUUUGGUAUUUCCUGAUGUCUCCUAUUCCAAUUGUUCUCAAGCACUCCUUUCUUUUCUUUUUGGCU